CCUACGGGUGGCUGCAGUGGGGAAUAUUGGACAAUGGGCGAAAGCCUGAUCCAGCCAUGCCGCGUGUGUGAAGAAGGCCUUCGGGUUGUAAAGCACUUUCAGUGGGGAAGAAAGCCUUGGGGCUAAUACCCUCGAGGAAGGACAGCACCCACAGAAGAAGCACCGGCUAACUCCGUGCCAGCAGCCGCGGUAAUACGGAGGGUGCGAGCGUUAAUCGGAAUUACUGGGCGUAAAGCGCGCGUAGGCGGUCUGAUAAGCCGGUUGUGAAAGCCCCGGGCUCAACCUGGGAACGGCAUCCGGAACUGUCAGGCUAGAGUGCAGGAGAGGAAGGUAGAAUUCCCGGUGUAGCGGUGAAAUGCGUAGAGAUCGGGAGGAAUACCAGUGGCGAAGGCGGCCUUCUGGACUGACACUGACGCUGAGGUGCGAAAGCGUGGGUAGCAAACAGGAUUAGAUACCCUAGUAGUC
rnacentral:rRNA from 1 species